CUGUCAUCUGCCCCUGUGAGGCUCUACUCCGAAGUGGGGCCGUCCGAAACGAUCCAGACCACAAGCCGGACUCCACCCAGCAGGGAGGGAAAGGAAAACAGAUUGGGCUGACUACCGCACCUCACCACCAGCAGCGGAGCUCCAAGCCCAAACAUGGGCAACGUGCAGGAACGGCCAUCGGAGAUCAUUGACCGGGAACGGAAACGGCUGGUAGAUACCUUGCAGGCUGACUCUGGGCUGCUGCUGGACGCGCUGGUGGCCCGGGGCGUGCUCACCGGGCCUGAGUAUGAAGCCUUGGAUGCGCUGCCUGAUGCUGAACGCAGGGUGCGCCGCCUGCUGCUGUUGGUGCAGAGCAAGGGCGAGGCAGCCUGCCAGGAGCUACUGCGCUGUGCCCAGCAUACCGUGCGUGUGCCAGACCCCGCCUGGGAUUGGCAGCACGUGGGGCCUGGCUACCGGGACCGCAGCCAUGACCAUUCAUGCUCGGGCCACUGGACGCCCGAGGUACCCAGUUCAGGGACCACAUGUCCUGGGCUACCCAGAGCUACAGAGCAAGAGGAGGUCGGAGGUCCUGAGGGCUCUGAGGCAGUGCAAUCUGUAACUCCAGAGGAGCCCGAACUAGAUGCUGAAGCCUCUGAAGGGGACAAGCCGGACCCGGAACAACAAAUGGAACCGGAGCCAGAGCCAGAGGUAGAACCAGAGCCUGAACUAGAGCCGGAGCCAGAGCCGGAGCCGGAGCCGGAGCCCGAGCCUGACUUCCAAGAAGAGGACGAGUCUGAAGAUUCCUGAAGGCCAGAAUCCUGACCUGUACAAAUCCUACCCAAGCUGGGGAGCCAGUCGGGAGCCUGCGUUGGAAACCGUUCUACUCCGUGGAAAUCACUAGGAGCUGCUGCCCCCCAGCCCCAGCUGGAGGCAUGAAUAACGCACGUUGGCAUGGAGGCAAAUAUGGAAUACUACAUGACCGGUGAGAGAGACAAAAUGCUGAAAAGCAAGCUCCAGCCCAGCUGGGUCUCUGAGCCUGAAUGAAAGACAGGACCCUAUGCUCAGGCACGUCACCUCAGAGGGGUCCCAACUGCCACUAGACCCAGUGAGAGGUAGACAGUAUGAAUGCAGAAGAGCACCGAUAGGCCAGGUAGGGGAAGGGAAAGACUGGUACCAGACACCCAAAGCCGUCUCAUGCAGGAACAAGUUUCUAUUCCCAAACCAACCCCCAUUCCUAUUCACACUCAAUGUCCCUCCUAUCCCCAGGUCUCUCCUACUCAGGAGUUUAUGGGACAUACUGCUGCUAGUUCACAGGCCCCAGGAAGACUAGCAAGGACAAAAAAAAAAAAAAAGCCUUCUGA